UAACAGGAUUAGAUACCCUGGUAGUCCACGCCGUAAACGAUGAGUGCUAAGUGUUGGAGGGUUUCCGCCCUUCAGUGCUGCAGCUAACGCAUUAAGCACUCCGCCUGGGGAGUACGGCCGCAAGGCUGAAACUCAAAGGAAUUGACGGGGACCCGCACAAGCGGUGGAGCAUGUGGAUUAAUUCGAAGCAACGCGAAGAACCUUACCAGGUCUUGACAUCCUUUGACCACUCUAGAGAUAGAGCUUUCCCUUCGGGGACAAAGUGACAGGUGGUGCAUGGUUGUCGUCAGCUCGUGUCGUGAGAUGUUGGGUUAAGUCCCGCAACGAGCGCAACCCUUAUUACUAGUUGCCAGCAUUUAGUUGGGCACUCUAGUGAGACUGCCGGUGACAAACCGGAGGAAGGUGGGGAUGACGUCAAAUCAUCAUGCCCCUUAUGACCUGGGCUACACACGUGCUACAAUGGAUGGUACAACGAGUCGCAAGGUCGCGAGGCCAAGCUAAUCUCUUAAAGCCAUUCUCAGUUCGGAUUGUAGGCUGCAACUCGCCUACAUGAAGCCGGAAUCGCUAGUAAUCGCGGAUCAGAACGCCGCGGUGAAUACGUUCCCGGGUCUUGUACACACCGCCCGUCACACCACGAGAGUUUGUAACACCCGAAGCCGGUGAGGUAACCUUUUAGGAGCCAGCCGUCUAAGGUGGGAUAGAUAAUUGGGGUGAAGUCGUAACAAGGUAACCA
rnacentral:rRNA from 1 species